rnacentral:rRNA from 1 species
AGCACAGCCACGGGAAUACAGAGGGUGCGAGCGUUAAUCGGAUUUACUGGGCGUAAAGCGUGCGUAGGCGGCUUUUUAAGUCGGAUGUGAAAUCCCUGAGCUUAACUUAGGAAUUGCAUUCGAUACUGGGAAGCUAGAGUAUGGGAGAGGAUGGUAGAAUUCCAGGUGUAGCGGUGAAAUGCGUAGAGAUCUGGAGGAAUACCGAUGGCGAAGGCAGCCAUCUGGCCUAAUACUGACGCUGAGGUACGAAAGCAUGGGGAGCAAACAGGAUUAGAGACCCGUGUAGUCCCUGUCUCUUAUACA